rnacentral:rRNA from 1 species
UACGUAGGGUGCGAGCGUUGUCCGGAAUUACUGGGCGUAAAGAGCUCGUACGUGGUUUGUCACGUCGUCUGUGAAAUUCCGGGGCUUAACCUCGGGCGUGCAGGCGAUACGGGCAAUACUUGAGUGCUGUAGGGGAGACUGGAAUUCCUGGUGUAGCGGUGAAAUGCGCAGAUAUCAGGAGGAACACCGAUGGCGAAGGCAGGUCUCUGGGCAAUUACUGACGCUGAGGAGCGAAAGCAUGGGUAGCGAACAGGAUUAGA